ensembl:lncRNA
CAGCCUUCAAACCCUAGUCCCCUGUUGACACAAUCUUAGUGUUUAUAGCCCCAAACGCACUCAAACACAUACGUAAUGCCUUCGGGCACUGGGGCUAUGAAGAUGAGCAAGAUGUUGCUGUUCUCAAGGAGCUUACAGUGUAUAGAAUGAAGCAAUUGAGCACUAAACCAAUUCCUAAACCAUGUGACAAACACAGGCUACUGGAACCCAGAGAAAACCAAUCAGUAGCUUUAUUGAGGGUAGAAAAAAAGGAAUUUGGGGGUACAAGAAACUACAUGUAUAGGGGCUUGAGAAGUAGGGUACAUUCAGUUUGCUGUUGUUCAACAAGACAGCAAAGAACUGGAGGAGGGUGGAUUGGUCCUACAAUACAGAGAGAACAUGUGUGAACAUAAAAGAGAAAUUCAGAGGACUGACUGGUAGAAGAUGGCAGAUAGAAGGACUGGAGCUCAACUUCUCUCCUAAAAACAAAAAAUUUACAACCAAAUAUUGAGCAAUCUUCAAGCAAAUGGACCAGAAACUUUCAAAAAGAUAUCCUACCCCAGAAGACAAAAAGGAGGCCACAUCAAGAGGUAAGAGCGGCGAUUAUGUGAUAUAAACAACCCAAUACCUCCUGGGUAGGAAGCCCCACAGACUGGAAAGUAACUAUAUCACAGAGACACCUAUAGGAGUGAGAGUUCUAAGGCCUGCAUCAAACUUCCACAUGUGGGGAUCUGGCACUGGGAGAAAGAGCCCCCAGAGCAUCUGACAUUGAAGGCCAUUGGGCAUGUGCACAAGACCUCCACGGGACUCGGGGGAACAGAGACCCCAUUCUUAGAAGGGGCACACAGACUUUCAUGUGCACUGGGUCCCAGGGCAAAGCAAAGUCUCCAUAGGAAUCUGGGUCAAACCUGACCUCCUGGGAAAACAGAGGUGAAUGUGGCUUGUGGGGGAAGGACACUGGAAGCAAAGAUCUCAGGAAUAUUCAGCAGUGUGCCUUUCUCUGGAGGUGGCCAUUUUGGGAAAAUCUGGCCCCAUCCUUCAGCACUGAGAACCCCCAGGCAAAACAACAAUCCAGGUGGGAUCACACCCCCACCUAUCAGUAAACAAGCUGCCUAAAGACCCCCAAGCACAUAGCCAGCCUCUAAUCUCACCCAGAGACAAGGCCCCACCCACCAGAGGGAUAGGAAUCAGCACCACCUACCAGUGGGCAGGCAUCAGUCCCUCCCAUCAGGAAGCCUACAUCAAGCCCCCAUACCAACCUUAGCCACAAGGGGGCGCAGACAACAGAAGUAAGAGAGGCUACAACUCUACUCUGUAAAAAGGAUAAAAAUGAAAAGACAGAACUAUAACUCAGAUGAGGGAGAAAGGAAAAAAACCCAGAAAAACAGCUAGAUGAUCAGGAGAUUCUCAGCCUCCAGGAAAAAGACAGUUGAUGCUGAAGAUAAUGGAAGACAUUGGAAAUAAAUUGGAGGCAAAGAUGGAUAAUUUGCA